rnacentral:rRNA from 1 species
UGGGGAAUAUUGCACAAUGGGCGCAAGCCUGAUGCAGCCAUGCCGCGUGUAUGAGGAAGGCCUUCGGGUUGUAAAGUACUUUCAGCGGGGAGGAAGGCGAUAAGGUUAAUAACCUUGUCGAUUAACGUUACCCGCAGAAGAAGCACCGGCUAACUCCGUGCCAGCAGCCGCGGUAAUACGGAGGGGGCAAGCGUUAAUCGGAAUUACUGGGCGUAAAGCGCACGCAGGCGGUCUGUCAAGUCGGAUGUGAAAUCCCCGGGCUCAACCUGGGAACUGCAUUCGAAACUGGCAGGCUAGAGUCUUGUAGAGGGGGGUAGAAUUCCAGGUGUAGCGGUGAAAUGCGUAGAGAUCUGGAGGAAUACCGGUGGCGAAGGCGGCCCCCUGGACAAAGACUGACGCUCAGGUGCGAAAGCGUGGGGAGCAAACA